rnacentral:piRNA from 1 species
CCCAAGGAAACAGAAACCACAAGUUUUAUGC